AUGCAGGACCACAGAAGUAGAAGUUAUAUAGGACCCUGCUAAUGUCUCACUAGACACUAGUCUCACAGAGUAUACCGCUGUGUUGUAUGGUAUAUAUGUGUGUCUCAAACGAUAUACCAGGGCUCUCUAACCCUGUUCCUGGAGACAUACUCUCCUGUAGGUUUAAACUCCAACCCUGUCCCUGGAGACAUACCCUCCUGUAGGUUUUAACUCCAACCCUGUUCCUGGAGAGAGACCCUCCUGGAGAUUUUAACUCCAACCCUGUCCCUGGAGAGAGACCCUCCUGUAGGUUUAAACUCCAACCCUGUUCCUGGAGAGAGACCCUCCUGUAGGUUUAAACUCCAACCCUGUUCCUGGAGAGAGACCCUCCUGUAGGUUUAAACUCCAACCCUGUUCCUGGAGAGAGAUCCUCCUGUAGGUUUAAACUCCAACCCUGUUCCUGGAGAGAGACCCUCCUGUAGGUUUAAACUCCAACCCUGUUCCUGGAGAGAGAUCCUCCUGUAGGUUUUAACUCCAACCCUGUUCCUGGAGAGAGACCCUCCUGUAGGUUUAAACUCCAACCCUGUUCCUGGAGAGAGAUCCUCCUGUAGGUUUAAACUCCAACCUUG